GGCGGAUCAGCCCGCUCCCGGUAAAACGGGACGGCCCGCCAGAGGACCCCUAAACUCUGUUUCUAUAUGUAACUUCUGAGUAAAACCAUAAAUAAAUCAAAACUUUCAACAACGGAUCUCUUGGUUCUGGCAUCGAUGAAGAACGCAGCAAAAUGCGAUAAGUAAUGUGAAUUGCAGAAUUCAGUGAAUCAUCGAAUCUUUGAACGCACAUUGCGCCCGCCAGUAUUCUGGCGGGCAUGCCUGUUCGAGCGUCAUUUCAACCCUCAAGCCCCCGGGUUUGGUGUUGGGGAUCGGCGAGCCCUUGCGGCAAGCCGGCCCCGAAAUCUAGUGGCGGUCUCGCUGCAGCUUCCAUUGCGUAGUAGUAAAACCCUCGCAACUGGUACGCGGCGCGGCCAAGCCGUUAAACCCCCAACUUCUGAAUGUUGACCUCGGAUCAGGUAGGAAUACCCGCUGAACUUAAGC
rnacentral:rRNA from 1 species